rnacentral:lncRNA from 1 species
GUCAGGGUAGGCGUUCCCUAACGGAAAAAUGCUAAUAAAUACUAUAACGGUCCAAUUGGAUCUCACUAUCUCGUGCUUGACUCUGCCCACCUCCUUGAUUUUUCUAAGAUUCAUUUUCUCCCAUUGGAAACGACUGGCUCUAUCUUGAGUUAGUUAUCUUUGCAUCUUUGCUCCAAGUAUGCAUUUACCCGUGACUUGAAUAUGGAGCAAGAAAGACGAACCCGGAAUCAUAACGCCUGAGCGGAGUUGCCACAUCCGGUUUUCAGCGUAAAAGGAAGCUAGGUCACCCGGCACCAUAACAUGUUUACGUUUCUGUAACUAAGACUAGCUAAGUGUCUCGAUUCGCACCGUCGGACUCAGAGCAUUCAGUUUACAUUUCCGAAAUAAGCUAACCAGUUACCCACCUGGAAGAUGAAGUACUUUACUGUAGCACCAACUUUUUUUCAAGUUCCAAACUGUCUUAUGGAAGGCUAAGGGGGACCUGCAAAAUCAAGGUAGCUACAGUAAUAGCUAACUAACGUUAGCAAGCUUAGCUAGGCUAUUUGAUGUGAGCCACUAGUCUAUGACAAACAAUAGGCUACUCCAUGUACUGAUAAUUCAUGUUCUGCAAUCAAUGUGCCCUUGCAAGUGGCAUAUUUGCCUUCAAUAUAGACCUCAGUACAUAGCUGGUUAGUUAGAUGAUUUGGCUACUUGGUGGUACUCACUAUUCGCAUAUGUUGUGUGCCAAGUCUCAUUGGAUCUAACGUUACUGCAGUGAGAUGCAAGUUAGGCUUCUCAGUUAGCCUGAGGCUAGUUUGAUAAGCUGUAUGGGGGUAAUUCAGGACACAAAGCACCCAUUAGGUGUUGUGGUGUAAUAAACAGUCGUGUUUACAAGCAGACAUAGGGAAGUAGAGUGGGUGGACUCCCUUGGUCAGUUGGUGUAGGCCUAACGUUACACUUGGAAUCAACUGUAGUUACACCACUAUCUAAUAUUACAGAACCUCAGACUCUCACCAUUUUCACUGUUAUAAAAAGGACUUUAUAAAAUCAAUUGGAUUGAUAUGCUUCAGGAGAUAGGCCUGGUCAGCUACUUGGAAAUGACUAGGUCUAGCCUAACUUAAUUUAAAUUGACCCUGGGUGUCACCCAGAUAGCUAGUUUAGUUGGUGUGAGAUGGAUGUAGAUAUAAAGCCGGAGGAGGAUGAGGUGGAGAUAUCCCCAGCUGUCAUUUUGUCUGACUCUUUUGAUGCAAGUUAUUCAUAUGCUGAAAAUUUGUAUGACACAACAAAACAAAGCCUUAUUUGUGCUCUGUUAGAAGAUAGAAAAUCAAGUGAUACGGAGAUUAAAAUUAAUUCAACAACAGUUGGUGUUCCAGCUGUAAAUGUGGGUGGUAAAGGUGUUGUUCAUGUUCACACAGAACAGGAUAGCCCACGCACCUCUGUAGGGAAUUUAAUCAAAGAGGAGCCAUGUUUUUACAUAUCUCCCAAUGAUUUUCAGAUUGGAAAAGUAUGUACCUUUUCUCAGUCGCAGCAUCUAGUUGCAGAAAGUGUUUCUUUGGGAGGACAAAUCAACCCAACUGCACAGAUAUUUAGCAGCUUUCAAAUACAGCCCCUAAACAAUGAUCAAGUGCUGACUGAUUAUGUUAAUCUUCCAAGCCAAAGUAUUGCCAAACCGUUUCCGAUAAUUUCACCUGCAAUAGCAAGUGACAGUAAUUUAACUCCAGUGCUGCAAUCAUGUCAUAUGAGGACUCACAGGCCUAUUCUUCCAGCCUAUUGUAAACCAUUUAAUUUUACCUCUGCUCAAGAGGAAGACUACGACGUUAAAAUAAAAAAAAGAGGGAAGAAAAUGGUCAAGGCACAAAAAGGGAGAAAAGAUGGAGAUAUGUGGCGACAUCGUGUUAAUUACUCAAAACAUAUUUCACCAAGGUCGUCAGCUGGGAAAAAGUUGAAGGAUCCAUACUCCAACUGCAAGAAAAUUGGCUUGGAUUUCAAUGUUGGGUCUGGAUCCAAUCAGAAACUAGAUUUGCAGUUGCUGACUAAAGGUGUGAUGGUUGAGGUUUCUGAUUUUGCUAAAGAAGUUAAUAGAGCUCAGCAGCAUGUUGUCUGUGACAUUCUAGAGUACAACUUUGAUCUUGGUUUGCAAAAGCAUCAAAGGUAUGAUUUUGCGACACGUACUAUGCACAAAUUAAGAGAAUUGAUGAGAAAACGAAAAACUGUCCUAGGAAAACCUGAAUUGGUAAUGGAGGUGUUUACCCUUCCUGAUCCCAACACGAUAAAAGGAUCGAAAUAUGCCCUUUCAACUGCAAAGAAUUAUGACCGUGUGUCAGAAAAUCUUGAAACUGCUGGCACAUUUUUAAUGGACAAAUCUCAUCUGGACAUCGUAUCCAGACUUACUCACCAUGUCAAGACAGACAACCUGUUAACUGAGAAAGAUGUAACGCAGUGUGCUGGUGGAACGGCGUACAGCCUUGCAAGGGACCAAAACUGGCAUCUAAUGGCUUCUACAACGUCAAAAACAAUGAAGGACCCUUAUCCCCUCUGUAAGAAAAUAGGAUUAGAACUUGAUGUGAAAUCCAAUUUUGGGGCAAAAGAGAAACUUAAUUUGGAUUUAUUGACCAAAGGUAUAAUGAUUGAACUUGGUAAUUUUGCCAAAGAUGUUUGUGGAACUUACAAGCAAAUUGUCAUUGAUGUCCUAGAGCACAAUUUUGAUCUUGAUUUGCCUAUUGAGAAAACCAAGCUGUCUACCUAUAUUAUUACAAAGUUGAGACGAGUUGUUAAGAAAAUGACAUGCAUGGCACAUAGAAGGAAACCUCCAUAUUUAAAGGAAACAUUCUCACUGGGGGUUGGCACAAGAAAGAAACCUGCAGUGAUUUCCAGUAAAAUGCAGGUCAUUAACUCAAUUGACUCAAAUGUGUGGAAAUAUCAAGGACUGAAAAAAGUUACAGAAAGAAGACGAUUAGAUUUGAGAAGGAAAAAGGGAGAAAGAGCCACUUGCAAAGUAAGAGAAAUGAAGGCAGAGAAAUUUCAUAGAGGUAGACAAGUAGGCCUAGUUCCUCAGUCUGUGAAGAAACAGACCAUUUCCAACGAGACUGAACUCACAUUGUCAGCCGGAAAAAUGAAGGUCCCGGUCAGCAAAAUUAAAAAGGCAAAUGUGAUGCCCUUUGCAGAGAAAGUGGUGAAAAACUGCUACCCCUUGUGCAAAGAAGUAGGUGUGGAACUUGAUGUGAAAUCCAAACCACUAUCCAAAACAAAACUUGACUCACAGUUACUGACUAAUGGCGUAAUGUAUGAGGUUCAUAAGUUUGCAAAAAAUACAAAAAAGGCUUAUAUGUAUACUGUCUAUGAUAUACUGGAAUAUAAUUUUGAUCUAGAUUUGCAAAAUCAGAAACGCUGUCAAUUUGCCGUACAUAUUUCAUCUAAACUGAAACGAAUGGCUAAACGGAAAUAUGUCACAAAUGAAGACUUUUCAAAAGAAGUGUUUAUAAUACCUCUUGUGACUAGACAAUACAAGAAAAAAGAAGCUACUCCACCUGCAAGAUUGUCAAAAAGACAAUUGGAUUUGAAAAGGAUACAAGAGGCAAAUCAUACAGAGGAGAAGAGGAACUGUCAGGAGAUGGUUAGCAAGACCGGUUUGAAAAAUCUGGUCCCUGAUGCAAGGACUGUAGGGUCUCUGCAUGAUGAAGAGAUCAUCUCUAUCGAAACAGCUGAAACUGUCAAGCUUGGCCAAGAUAAUGGACCCACUGACUUCUGCUUAAAGGAGUCUGAUGUUCACUCUGGGGUCACAGAGCAAACCCCAUGCCCAGAGAACUACCAAGUUGACAUUUGCUGGAAAAUGAUCAAUGAAAUUGUUACGAGUAGUGAAAUGCAACAGAUGAGAUGGAUUUUUGUACCUUUUUCAAACUGUUUUGGUGUUGGGACUGGUUCGGAAAAGAAAUUUCAACAAAUCCUUGCUGAAUACAGAUCAGACAUCCUACCACUGGUAGUUGAGAAACAUUGUGGCUUUAGUUCCACUGAAAAGACAAUGAUGUGCCUUGUAAGUCAGCUCUUCUGUGGCUUACAUUUGAUUGAUGGCUUAGCUCACCAGGCAAAAACAACUCUUCUACUUUGGGAAAAUAUGAUUUUAGGAGAUAAAGAAGUAGGAGUCCAUAGCUCCCCUAACAUUGAGACAACAGAGUUGGAGUCUGGAACAGUGCGUUUGGUGAGUUCUGUGAGUGAUGCUGUGCAAGAGCUUGGAUGGGCAGAGGACGGUCAGCUUGUUCCGUUCGAAAGCUUUUUGACCAGCAAAAAAGAAUUUGAUGAAGUUCCUUUGUCUCUAUCCAUUGGACACAGAAUUGAUGGUCUGUUUCAUAAUUCUGCUGGAGUGUGUAGCAUCCAUGAUGAUUUGGUUGAGUUUACCAGUACGUACGGAGCUGAGAGUAGUUUGCUUGCUGCAGUUGUUGCUGAUUUGGAGGUUCAACAGUUCAAGGCCGGAUGCAGAGCUCUGGGUCUGGUUUCCAAGCUUAUCAUUGAUCCUCUCUGGAGAGCCUUAACUUUGAAGGGAAACGUGUUGGAGAUGGAAGAAAGAUACCAAACCCUUGUUACCAAACUCAAGGAAUGGCAGGAAGAUGGGAGAGACCUUGUUAAAGGAAAUGCAUGCUUGUUUGAUGACAUUGAGGUACCCAAGAACCUUGUGUUUGACAGGCUUACCAUGUGGACUGACACAGACUUUUUUGAGUUGACUGUUCAGAUUGUUGAGUUGAUCCUAGCCAGUUUUCUGAAGGUAUGUUCUAUGAUGCUUCCAGUCGAACCAGAGCUCCUGUCAAAGAAAAAUGAUCGAUUCAGGAAGGAUUUGGCAAUAUUAGAUCAAUUGCAAAAAGCUAAGUCAAAUGCAGUCAGUAUUGCCAUUGAAGGCAUGGACAUGUGCAAGAAGAAUCACACUUGGGAAUGGCUGUCCUUUUUGGAUGAAUCAAAAAUGGUGUCAAUGAGGAAAACAUUCCAGACAGUGUAGGCAAAGGAAGAAGAAAAGCUCUGCCACACCUGCAGAAGAAUGGAAAUGGUAAAGGAAUAGACAUGAAAGACAGAGUGAAUGAGUCUUUUAUUUGUUUAUUUAUUUAGAAAUGAACCACAGUAGGACUAUAGAGGACAGAACCUUUUUAUAACAGGUUUAACUUUGCCCCUGUAUCCUGGUGAUGACAUUGCCUAUACAGCUCUUUCAAAAAAAAUCCAUGAACGUGCUUUUCUUUCUAGCGCCUUAGCUUUUGUGUUCAGACUGGUGAAAGAUAAACAGCAAUGCAACCUCAGACAAUAAGUAGAUGCAAGUAUAAUAUAGUUACACUAUAUACCUAUUUUGUGAUAUAUUGUAUAGCCUAAUGAUGUUCAAACGCGGUGUCAGUAAAUGUUGAAUAACGCUUCUCCAUUUGGCACCACCUGUAGUUGGGAAUGUGAAUGGUUUCACGAGCUUACCUGUUUUUAUAUUGUUUAAAAUCCAAUUCAGAGUUUUUUUCCGAAGUGUGCUGUCAGGAAAAGUGUAGAGGCUUAGGCUCAAUAGUUGAAUUUGCAUAUUUCCUUGGCCUUCUUUUGAUACCUGGUCUUGUCUUUGAAAAGACUAAUUGAAUGAAAAAAAUUAUAAUUUUGAAAGGAGACCAGUCGUUAUUUUAGUGUUAUUAGCUUAUUUCUGGACCAUUUUCCCCCUCACUUUUUGUAUGACCAUUGAAUUGCCUACUUGAAUGGUCAACUUAAAUAGAAACGAGAUGGAGAGCAAGGCUCUGAAAGUUGUCAACUUUUCCACUGUCAAAAUGAAUCAUGCUUUAUUUUUUUAAAUACCUUUUUUUAAAUCAUAUUUUGGUAAUCCAUUUUUGAGAGCCUGUUUUAUCUCUAUAUUUUUGUUGGAGAUCAAGAUGUUUUCAUUAGGACAAAUGCACACUGGACUGCAGUGCUUUUCUAUCUGCUGCAGCAUUCAACCUUCCACAUUACUGUAGACUUCAGGAAGAACAUGCUUUUAGAUAUAAACAUCAAAUAAUUAGCAAAAGGCUGAGUUCCAGGUUUGUGAUGUCCACCAUGAGAGAUUCUCAUUAAAGUUGAACCAGUGACUAGUCUCAGAUGGGGAGCUGGACCUCUUGAAGACCAAGCUAGACUGGCAGGCCUGUGGAUCUCUUGUUCUGGGCUACUCAGAGGUGCUGCCAGAACUGGACCUUGGCACUAUCAAUUCACAGACUACCACCUACAGCCCGUCCAUACAAACCUGCACAUAGGACAAGUGCUGGGCCUCAGUCACAAAGUCAUCACUGAUGCUCUGACUGAAACUAGCCUACACCAACUGGUCUUUGCCAACUGUUCCACUAACCUACCCCUCUUCAACAACAGACUUGUGAACAGAACAUCCUUCCUGACACACAAGACAAGAGUUCUGAGGUCUUGUAAAGAGGGAUGAGAGGACUGCCAAUAGAUUAAACUGAUUCAUUACUUUGAUCAGUCCUACUUUCAACACUUCGUACUAAAAAUGUACUCUGAUUGCCCACUUAAGCUUGCAAUGGAUUUCAGUGGAGUUAAACAUGACACAUGCAGUGUCACUGUUUCGUGUGGAAGGGGCUACGAGAAGGGGUCGAUUUGGAAUUCAGCACUGUCCAUGGGUUGACCGUCCUGAACUUUUUUUUCCUUAAAUGUUUUGUUUUUGACAGUACAGCUGGAAAUGUAAAGAUUGAAACAUAGUAGGGGCAUAGACAGAGGGUGGCCGAGGUGGAGCCCAAUCCCUGUUGCCAGGGGGCCCAAUCCCUGUUGCCAGGGGGCAUAUCUGGUACAGAGUCGGGGAGCUUAGACCACUACACUAGACUCCGUCACGACUGACCUGAACUUUUUACCAGAAAAUAAAUACUAUGUUCAUCAGACUCUCCUCACUGUAAAACUCAGAAUGGUUGUGAGGUCACAGGGAAAAGACUGAUCUGAGGGACCACAGACUCACAAAACAUUGUAGCUCACUUGACUGGAAAACAGCUCUUUGUGGUGCCUAUGUCUGACAUGAAGUAAAAAUGAAAACACAACAGAAAAUUGCUCUCUACUUCCUACCACAAUCUUAUAUAUUGCAUACUUAGAAUAUGAAUGUGAUUAUUCAUACACUCAUAUUAGGCUUAUUUCUCUUUGGUUGGGGUGUUCAAUGGUUAAGUGGACUAGCUACCACUAUGGCAUUUUGAUGUUAUGGCGUCAGCUCUGGCUGGCUGAGAAGACAAGUAAAAGGGCUAAUAGUUGGCAGGGCAAUUUUUGUUUUUCCCAACUUUGUAUUACCGUAUCAAAUAAUUUAAUUAAGGUAGAAAAAUCACUUUAUAUCGGUGUUAUGCCUGUUGUUCAAGCGUGUAACUGCCCUCUCAUUCGCUAGAAUGGUCCCACCUGAUCUCACCUCCUCCCGACUUCCUUCCAUCUUUGAAUACAUGUAUUUUCAUUGUUAGAGUGGCCACUUGAGUAUCUUAUCUAUAUAAUUGUCAUGACUGCCACUCCUUGGUGAGGAUCAAAGGUGCCGGAUCAGCUAGGCCAAUGGCUGACAGAUAGCCAAACUCUCUCUCUCUCCUGGGGGAGUUGGCCCGGUUUUAUGAUUUAACGACCGGAUUGUAAAUACCUGGCAGAAACUCUCCCUUUGGCUCUGCAGUAUUGAAAGACUGAGUGUUACAGAGAGACUCUUGCUAAAAACUUUAACAUCAAAAGAUUGGACAUUGGAACAUUAGUUUUGAAAUCCAAACGCUUGGAAUGGUUGGUGGGUUUAUUAUUUUGUGAUAUCAUUAAGGAUGGUAUAACUAAGUAACAUUGUAACUUUAAGAGCUUUCACAAUGUAUAGAUCAGAUUUGCAUGUUGCAUGUUACUGUUGUGAAGAUAAAAUGUGAUUUUAGCCUUCUAAAUGAGAAUUGUUUUUCAUAUAAACUUUUGCUAAGUCAGUAACCACGCCCACGUGAGCACAGACUUCGUGUCAGCAUGAUGGAACACCCCUUUUUACCUAAGCAUAAAAGGACUCGUAACGAAAUUUACAUUAGACCAAAACAGGCCGGGUUGCUGCCGGUUUGUAAAGUGGUCCUAGCUGUACCCUGAAUAAUCAACCAUUGAGACCAGUCUACGUGCAGCGUGAGCUGAAUACGUUACCAAUGGUUAAAUCUCUACAGUUGGGUAAUUUAAAGUAGUCUAUGUAGAACAAUUGACCCAGACGGGAAAGAAGAACAAUUCCCUAUCACCACUGUGUGAUACACCUCUGAUGGAUCCAUUCUAACGAACACUCCAGAACAAAAGAAGCCUACAACUACUAAGGAAAUUGUGACCUCUGGUGGACCACCAGAGACUUACAUCGAACCACCACAUUGAACUAUCGAGUUCAACAGAGAGACGACAGAGAAAGACAUCUACGCGUAAAUAUGUAUUGCAUUCCUUUUCUGAAUGAGCGGGUGUUAGGGUUCCUAAUAUCCAUAUUUACAGUGAGUGUAUUUUUCAACUGUAUGUACGAUAAGUCCACUCUCUUUGUCUCUCCCGCUCCUUAUCUUUCCCCACCCCCUUUCCAUUGUGUAACAAGCUGUCAUAUCGGGUUAGUCCACUAGGGACUGUUUCAUUGCAUUAUGUUAGUAAUAAAUAAUCUACACUGUGUGUGUGUAUUUCUGUGUGAUUAUUUAGUGAGUUAGUAAAUAAAUAAGCCAAUUUGUGUAUCGCUGAAUCAUCACUUAGGCUAGGGUUCGUGCAGAUUUACG